GCGCAACAGUGUCAAUCGCCAUCUGAUUCCACCGGACCCAGAUCGUGUGGAGAUUCCCUGGGUCAUAUUCCAUCUGGAUUGACAAUUACACUGAAGCAGCGCUGUUGUGCCCGGUGUGAAGCUGGAACUCCUGCGUGUUGAGACAGCUGCCCAAAAGACUUCGCUUCUCUGCGGGUCGCAUGAUUCAUACGUGCUGACGCUCUCGACUGUGUUGCUCAGCACCGCGCGGAGUGGCCCGGCUCUCGCUCGGCCGAGGGGGGAAAAAACAAUCUGAUCAAACAUGUGGGGGAGAGGUCAGCCUGUGGACCACGGCAUGGCCCGCCACUCUCUCUCUGCAGAGCAGCCGGUUCUGGGAACUCAGAGUCAUCACAUUUCCUCCGCCGCCUGGGAGAAGGCCCUCCAACACCCUCAAAGCAGAGGGGAAGAGUCACUGGCAGAUUUGAUCAAGAGAUUCAAGACGGUUUUUUUCAUGUUCAUGUGGAUUGGGUUUUCUGUGAAAGUACAAGAAUCGUGCGUAACUUAAUACACUACUAUUGGCAUGGAUACCAUUUUCUUUAUGCUUACCUGUGCAAUUUGUCCUUCAGUUGUGAUCUAGACUGAAGAGCGUAAGCACGACUUGACAAUAUUUAGUUUAAUUUUUUCCUUUAUUCCCAUAUAAAGUUUAAGUUUGGCCAUUUGUUUCCAUCAGAUACAAUUCUGAAUUUUGUUAUGGUUUGACAUGAAAAUGUAAAACUAACCAUAUUGAAAA
ensembl:lncRNA